rnacentral:rRNA from 1 species
CAGUAACGGCGAGUGAAGCGGCAACAGCUCAAAUUUGAAAUCUGGCCCCAGGCCCGAGUUGUAAUUUGCAGAGGAUGUUUCUGGCGAGGUGCCUUCCGAGUUCCCUGGAACGGGACGCCAUAGAGGGUGAGAGCCCCGUACGGUUGGCCGCUAAGCCUUUGUGAAACUCCUUCGACGAGUCGAGUAGUUUGGGAAUGCUGCUCUAAAUGGGAGGUAUACGUCUUCUAAAGCUAAAUACCGGCCAGAGACCGAUAGCGCACAAGUAGAGUGAUCGAAAGAUGAAAAGCACUUUGAAAAGAGGGUUAAAUAGUACGUGAAAUUGUUGAAAGGGAAGCGCUUAUGACCAGACUUGGGCCGGUUGAUCAUCCAUCGUUCUCGGUGGUGCACUCUGCCGGCUCAGGCCAGCAUCAGUUUGUCCCGGGGGAUAAAGGCUUUGGGAAUGUGGCUCCUCCGGGAGUGUUAUAGCCCACUGCGUAAUACCCUGGGGUAGACUGAGGUUCGCGCUCCGCAAGGAUGCUGGCGUAAUGGUCAUCAGUGACCCGUCUUGAAACACGGACCAAGGAGUCGUCUUCGUAUGCGAGUGUUCGGGUGUCAAACCCCUACGCGUAAUGAAAGUGAACGUAGGAGAGAGCUUCGGCGCAUCUCCGACCGAUCCUGAUGUUCUCGGAUGGAUUUGAGUAAGAGCAUACGGGGCCGGACCCGAAAGAAGGUGAACUAUGCUUGUAUAGGGUGAAGCCAGAGGAAACUCUGGUGGAGGCUCGCAGCGGUUCUGACGUGCAAAUCGAUCGUCAAAUAUGAGCAUGGGGGCGAAAGACUAA